rnacentral:sRNA from 1 species
CUUGGUCCUAUGGGGGUUCUCUUAUUUAAUAAAGGUGUAUUUAUAAUUUGCUGGAUCUCAGACAUUAUUCUAGUUAAUCUGUUGUAGACACAGCAAUGCUAUAAGAGAGAAAUUUCUCUCAUGGACCUUUUGUUCUAUUUGCAGGAGAAAAAAUAUGAAUUAAUCAAUCAAGAUAAACAAAAAGCUUUACUUAAAAGUAAAGCGUGAGGGUAUCAGUGGAGCAGAGAGGUGACCAGCAAACGAGACUGUGUUCAAGCAAACAGGAUAAAAAUCUAAAGGACAAAGACAUGGAAAAUGAAAUCAAGGAGAAAGAAGUUCACUUUCUAUGUUUGAGGCCAAUAGGCACAGUCAGCAGUAGGAGAGAAGUUGGGGUUGUAACUCAGGGUUCUGAUCUGAUUCAACUAUGCAAAUUCUCUGAAUCUUGUCCAAGGCUACACAACUGGAAAACAGGAAAGUUCACUUUCAAAGCCAGGUUCUCCAUUAUGCCAUUGGCCUGAAGUCUUAACUGGAGCCAAGUAUGGUAGAUUUAUGCCCUUAAACCUGCCCAACUAUGAGCCAAGGAUCUGUCAAGUUCCUUUUGAAAAUGUCCCUUGGAUGGUGAUUUAAGAAUCCCUGACAGACACUGUGAACCCCAUCACCCUUGGAACACAGUAUGAUAGGAGAGCCCAUGGGAGCCUCUGCAACAUCCGGGGUAAUGAAAAUGUUAGCUGGAACUCCAGUUUAGCCAAGAGGUAUGAUAUUUACUUUAUUUCUGUCUCAGUUUAUUUUCUGUUGCUGUGAUAAAAUACUGUGACAAAAGCAACUUAAGGGAGAAGGGUUUGUUUAGCUCACAGCUCCAGCUUACAGUCCAUCAUUGUAUGUAAGUCAAGCAUCAAGACCUUGAAGCAGCUGGUCGCACUUUGUCUGCAGUCAAAAGAGAGUAAUGGACGUGUGCAUAAUAGUGCUCAGGUCACUUCUUCCACAGUCCUGGAUCCCCUAGACAGCAAAUGGUGCCACCAACUGAUGGCUCAGAAGCCUACCUCCCAGAUGAUUUUUUUUUUUAUUCUUUAAGAAGAGACUAUAAUUGCUUGUUUGUUUUUUGUUACCAUACACAUUUUUAAUAAACACGAAAAACAUUAAAAAAAAAAGAAAAUGCCCCUUGGAAUGGAAAUUCUACUUUUCCUGAACACCCUCUAAAGUCUAACCAACUCUGCCUGGUAGAUCAUCAUGACUUCCCUAAAACAGUCUCCACUGGGACAGCACUAUCAAUCCAAUCAAUUAUCCACAUAGCUGUCAAUUCCUCCCAUUCCUUAAGAUGUCUGCUUGAUAUGGUUGCAUUAAGCUGUAAUUCCAGCAUUUGGGGGGUAAAGGAAGGGGAAUCAAGAGGUCAAGAGGCUAUAGAGAGUUUGAAAACAACCUCUGCUGCUCAAGAACAAAUUUCAAAUACUAAAAAAAAUUGUGUGUGUAUGUUUAUGUAUGUAUGCAUGCAUUUAUAUAUGUAUAUAUGAUAUAAAUAUCUCUUCUUUCACAUACUUUUAUAGUAUUUCUCAUCUGAAGAAUCUCAAAUUUUACAAUGAUCAUUGUCAGUGAGAAAGAAUAAAUCUUGUUUAAUAAUUCAAUUAAUCAUCAAACAUAAAUGUCUAGGAACAUGACACAAUUAAGACAUUAUAGAGGACUGGAAAUUGAGCAAGAAUGCUUUUCUUUCUGAAAACUAUGCCAUCUUUUCACCUUCUCCUGUCUAUGAGGUUCAGUGAGUAAUUUAAACUCACCAAAUCCAUCCUCUGCUCUUUAAGAUGUGGCUAUAUUCUGCGGCCUCACAGUGGUUUUUAAGAGACUCAGAUACAACAGUGUAUAUGAUGCUCUUUACAAACUGUAAAGUACAAUACGCCUAUUGAUUAGCUCUUCAAGAGGAGGAAAGAAGAUGGCAAACUCCCCCAUUAAGGCGAAAGUAAUCAUCAUUAAAAUAAUUAUUGCAAAUGCUAAGGCUGGUGAGUUAUAUGCCCAGGGAGAGACAAGGUAAUGUUAGGAAUGUUCCCGCAAUUCAUUCCAGGGAAGGAAAGCAGCGAUUGUAUUUUUAUCUUUGAAUAUUUCAUAUAUGUGUACAUUGUACCUCACCCUCCAAUUGGUACUGUCUGCCUCAGAAUAUCACUCUUCCAAUAUUUUCAUAUCUCAUUUAAAAAUGUAUUUUUAUCAUCCUCUUAGUCCUAUCAGUAAUGUUCAUACACUCAUGGUGGAAUAGCCAUUUAGGCAUAGACAACUGGCCUGUAUUUGUCCAUUUCCCCAAAGUGAGUAUUCCUUUUCUAUUCCUUUUCCAAUAGCUAUCAACUUGUAGUAGCACUUCAGCAAGUGGUGGGGAUUUGAGAAACCUUGAUCUCGUGAAAAUCUUGGCACCUCAGUUCCAGUGAAUUCCUGUGUGUAAGUGCAUGCCAUGCCCAGAUGAUAGCAUUUCACAGCAGCCCCUCCUCAUCCUCCAGCUUUCAGAUUUGUUCCAGUCCCUCUUUCGCAAUGUUUCCUGACUUUGGAGAUACAGGACAUCGAUCCAGAAAUCCCAUUUGCAUCACUUACAAUCACACAUUCUCAGCAAUCUGAACAGGAAUGUGUUUCUGCGUUAGCCACACCCACUGUAGUUAGGACCUUCUCUGAUGAAGGUUAGAGUAGCAUUAUUCUAUGAAUAUUCAGAAGGCAGUUUGUCAACAUGACCACUUAGCAAAAACAUUAAUAGGGCUUAUGACUUCAAGAGCCACGGGUUUUGAUCAUAACUACUGUAUGAGACAUAAAUUCCCCCCUGUCAAAUAGACCUCAAAUAUAGUCAAGAGAAUGCUUGGCAAACCCAUAAACAUUAUUACUUCUAUUGCAUCAUCAGGAACAUGUUGCUUUGCAGGUUGGCAUUGUAUCCUGCCAGGUCCAUAGCUGAGUAAGACAAUUGAUUUGUUUGGUUAUUGUUGUUGCUUUUGGUUUUAUUUGUUUUUUUUUCCAGAAGGCAAAAUAUCACAUUCCAGCAUUAUAAAAGGUAGGCAGCAGUAUUUUCCUAAUCAGUCAAGGUUGGAUUCUCUGCGUCCUGCAGUCAAAUUAUAUGAAGAUUUAGCAGUAGCUUCUGUGUGUAACUUAGAACAAUGAAAAUAGUGGGUAGGUAUUGUUUUGGAUGGCUCUGAAGCCUUCCUGAAAACUAAUAGGAAGAUAACCUAUGCCUGAAAUGAGAUUUUCAUAUAAUAACCCAUAUCUUAGAGCAGCACUACUCACCCAUGAGGGGUACUUUAUUUAAAUUUUUCAUUUUUAAGUUAUAUUUUAUUACCUUAUAAUUUAGAGAAAUCUGCAUAAAGUAACUGCACUAAAAGUUUAUUCCAUAAGGAAAAUAGAAGCAAAGAAUGGCUUAAAUGUAAAUGUAUCAUUGUAUGUCUGUCUCUAUCUAUCUAUGACUAUGGUGAUUCACAAUCAUGGACUCUAACCACAGGCUGUAUUUAUUUCUAUGAGAGCUCUUAAGUUCUGCUUGCCUAAAAAGAUAAGAUGAUUGGCAGGUACACUUUUGAGAGUACAAAAGUGGCUUUAUUAAUGGUAACAGGACAGUGUAAGUAUACUUGGAUACCAGCUUUAUGUAGUCAUAUACAUAUAAGAAAAUUCGCAUUAGAAUUAACCUGGGCAAAGUUCUCCUUCAGUUCUUAACUGUGUCACCUUAAACAAGUCAUUGACUGUGGAGGGUCGAAUAACAAUAACCCUCAUAGGCUAAUAUACUUGAAUUCUUGGUCCCUAGUUGGUUAAACUGUUUGCAAAGAUUAGGAGGUAUGCUUUGUUGGAGUUGUUUCAUUGGGGGAGCACUUUGAUGUUUCAAAAGACCUAAUUCCUUCUGGUAUGUCUCCUCCCUCUGCCUCCUACUUGUGGAUUAAGAUGUUACUGGUCAGAUGUUCCUACCCAUGCCUUUCUUUUGCUAUCAUGGAAUCUAACCCUCUUAAACUGUAUAACAGUUAAAUGUUUUCUUUUAUAAGUUUCCUGGACAGGCUGUUUUAUCAUAGCAAUAUAAAGGCAACUACGACACCGACCCUCUCCAAAACUUACUUUGUUUGCAAAAUGGAUCCGAUAAUAGUAAUUUUGAAAAUGUAUCAAAAGUAUUGAUGAACCAAUAGAGGCAGAAGUCUCAAAUUCAACCAUUCUCAAGAAAAUCUGUGAACUGUGUAGACUUUUCUGCUUGCUUAUUCUGAAUCAUCUGAGUCUCACAUUCUUAGGUCUCUGGUCCUAUAUUCAAAAUAAUGGAUAAGCAGACUCAGGCUGAGUUAGUUCGUCUGGGCAUAAUGUACUGAUUCUGAACUCAGUUGUGGCUGAGAGUAGUUAAAAAAGCAAGGCAAAUCCAUAAAAAGAGGCAACCCAUUGGUUAAGAUGUUUUACUGGUAUAUGGAAUUUGGGGAUGACAAAACAUAAAUCAGAAUAAUGAAGAAAUAAAAAGAAAAGAAUUCUAGCUUUCUUUGGAACUAACCUGGGCAAGGUUCUGUUCCUUAGAAAAGGUAAACUGCACAUUAUGCUCCCAACUGUAAGCACGGAAAAUGUGGUGGUAGUUGCCCAACACGCUCAUGAAUCUGCCUAUAUGAGAUUCAUGAUACAGAGUUUCGACAGUGCUAAAUGACACAGAAUUCUUCAUGAAUCUGUGUAAGAAAUUUAUAAAAAUAUCUCAGCAAAUUUGUCCAAAGCAUUUUAUUAUAGCUGACAUUUUUAUCUGUAUUCACAAAGCUGCCUAUGGGUAUGUAGAAGUCUUAAGUUACUGAACUGGAUAGGAAUUUCGUGGCCAGCAUUCAUUAUAGUAAAUUAUUAUCUGUUAAUGGCACAUCUUCUCAUCCGGGGCUACUUUUGGAAAUGAAGUUUCAUUGGAGCGUAGCCACAUCAAGUUGUAUACAUAUGGUCUGUGGCUUCUUUUGUAUAGUGGAAUUGAAUAGUUGGAACAGAGAUCUUAAGGCUCAUUCUGUAAAGUAUUUACUAUCUAACUUGGUAAGAGAAAGUUUCCCAAUCUCAGUUCUAAUGCUCAUUGCAUACUAACAGCCUCAAGAAGUCUCAUAUCCAAGAAAUUUUAGUUUUUAACUCAGAACUUCUGGGUAGGCAACUUCAAGAAGGGACUCAAUGAUGCCUACCUCUUGGUAUUCAUGCCCUUGUGUAAUAUUCUCCAGUAAGUUUGAACCAUACUGAUUUGGAUUUUUAAUGAGGAAAAUAGAGAGUGAGGACAUGCCAUUUGGAUAUUACCAUCAUAAGGGGGUUGUGUUUUUCUCUGAGGCCCUCCAUGGUCCAGAGGCACCACCUAUUAUGUUAGAAAUGUGUGGAAGAAGUCUCUAGGGAAGACCAUGUGGAAAGAAUCCAAGUCCUGAAGUGACUACAUGUGUACAACAGAAAGUGGAGCUGUCUUGCCUGCCAAGAGUCUUGUAAGUGAACUUGGAAACUAACUCUCUAGUCUCAGUUGAGCCUGAGAGGACUGAGGCAUGACCAGAAGCCUCAAUGCCCCUCAUAAGAAAUCUGAGGCAGAGACAUUCUGCUAACCUUUAGCUUAGUCCUUGAACACCAGAAACUCGGACACAAAAAGAAAAAUACUUGUGACUUUAAAUUGCUAAGCUUUGGCUGAAUAAUAAAGCAAUUGGUGAUUAAACAACCUAAAAAAAUUCAGCCAUUGCAAAAGCCAUGGUGAAAAGACACCAUGACCAAGGCAACUUAAAAAUAACACAUUUCAUUGGGGGCUUGUUUACAGUUCAGAAGGGGAGUCCAUGGUCAUCAUAUCAAGGAGCAUGGCAACAGGCAGA